rnacentral:misc_RNA from 1 species
ACAAAUGGCAAAUACAUGAAUGUGUGCGUCUUCUGUAAACCAGCAUGACUGAGAAAAAUGACAAUUCCUAUAGAAGUGCCCAACCAGGCCAAUAACCAAAAAAACAUGCUACUGGAGGAUCAAACUGGACACAUGACAAUAGCACAUACAUAAACUAACAUGAUUAACUCCUAUAAGUUGACCAAUUUUAUACUAGAGUGAUAGGCUAAAUACUUCACUAUCCUGGAAAUCAAGACAACUCUUUUCAAUGGACCAUGUAACAUCAAAUCUGGUGUUGACAAUGAAUUAGUGUCACAUGAACUGUUAGUGAAAACAUAGGUGGAUCAAUUGUCUUUACUCGACUGAUCGGGAGCUGUAGAAUUAGGUCUGUUUGAACGCUGCCCGUCUUGUUUAUCUUUCUCUGCAAUGGUAGAAGCAUUACUACUACUACGGCUAGUAGCCAUUUCCUUCGAUUCUGCUGGAUUUGGUGGGGGAGACAGCUCUUCUUCAAUUGGAAGGGUUCUUUUUGAACCCUCGAGAGCAACACCAAGAACAAUGUUCUCUUCCAAUGCAGGUUUCGAUGGCACAGAUGGUUGUGAGACUUGUUGUUUUUCAUCUUCUCUCUUAGGUAGUGAAGUAGAUGGGACAUUUCCUGUUUUCUCUCUAACAUCUGAUGGAGAAGUUGCGGAAUUAUCAACUACAUUUGUCGUGCGACCAAUCCCCUGGCUUACCUUCUCAACUUGCUUGUUGCUAGAGAUGUUCUCUGGAGGAUCUUUGGAAUCAGAAGUACCAACUUCUGCAGACUUAAGCUCAGCUUUUGGGACCGGUUGUGAAGUGUUUUUCACUGUUGCUUUACUCGAUUUUGGAUCAGACGAUGCUUUAAUGUCAUCUUUGGAUUCAGCAUGUGCCAUUUUGUCAACUUUGGGAUCAAGUUUCAAGUCAGAAAGUGGCACAUCCUUACCAUUAGAGUUAGCUGGAAGUGUUUCUUUGAUUUUAGGAUCAGAUGCAGGUCUGCUCUUGGUUUCAACCUUGCUGUCAGGUGCCGGUUUCAUGGUAGCCUUUUCCUUGGUAUCUUCUUCACCAUUCACGCGAAUUGGUCGACCUUUUGUGCGAUCUUCCCCAUUGACUUUAUAAGAUGGCUCAAUCAGUAGCAACGGACGAGUUGAUGCUGCUCCACGACUGAAGGCAGAAUCAUAUGUCAUGUUGUCCAAGUCAGCAUCACUAUAUAUUUUCUGAACUGUACGGAUGGGAGUAGCAAGCCGAGCUCGGUGAUGUCGAAUGACUCUGAGAAGAUCUAACAAAAUUGCUUCCUUGACACACAAGUAUUCCUCGAAGUGUGAUGUCUUGACAAAGCAGGAUAUUAAGAUCAACAGAGCUUGAUUUUCAGGGUUGACAUUCUCCAGGAACACUCUUCUAUGUAACCUCUGUUGCUCAACUUGGGGAUUCUUUGCCAAAACUUUGCGCAUGUCAGCUACAAUAUUAUUUAUCUUACUGACAUCCAAAUGACUAAUGGCUAAGUGAGUUUUAAUACGCCAAUGAGUUUUCUGAGUCAGAUUUCGGACAACAUUAACUGUAAACUUGUGGUUUGGAAUGUGAAUAGCCUCUCGAUCCUCG